AAAUCAAGAAGUACAUCGAUUGUUGCAUACCUUGCAUAUUAGUAAAUCGCAAGCGUGGUAAACAAGAAGGUCUUUUGAACCCCCUGCAAAAAUAUGACGAGCCGCUGCCGACCUAUCACAUCGAUUUUUGGGUCCACUGGAGUCAACCAGCAAGAGCUACAAACACAUACUUGUUGUUAUCGACGCUUUCACGAAGUUUUGCUGGUUAUACCCUACAAAGUCUACUACAUCUAACGAGGUCAUAUUAAAGUUACGCAGCCAAAGCGUGACGUUUGGCAACCCUGUUUGUAUCAUUUCAGAUAGAGGCUCGGCGUUUACCGCACAAGCUUUCCUACAGUACUGCGAAGACGAAAAAAUUAAACUGGUGAAGACGACUACCGGACUGCCACGGGUAAACGGGCAGGUGGAAAGGCUCAACUCAGUGAUCAUCUCCGUGCUAGCCAAGCUCAGUGUAGACGAUCCAUCCAAAUGGUUUAAGCACGUAGAUCGAGUACAGCGAGCAAUAAACUCGACGUACACCAGAAGCAUCGAUACAACUCCUUUCGAGCUUAUGAUGGGUAUCAAGAUGCGCACCAAAGAUGACC
rnacentral:lncRNA from 1 species